rnacentral:rRNA from 1 species
UACGAAGGGGGGCUAGCGUUGCUCGGAAUUACUGGGCGUAAAGCGCACGUAGGCGGCUUCUUAAGUCGAUGGUGAAAUCCUGGAGCUCAACUCCAGAACUGCCUUCGAUACUGGGGAGCUCGAGUUCGGGAGAGGUGAGUGGAACUGCGAGUGUAGAGGUGAAAUUCGUAGAUAUUGGGAGGAACACCAGUGGCGAAGGCGAUCAUCUGGGGUUGUUCUGACACUGAGGAGCGAAAGCUAGGGGAGCAAACGGG